rnacentral:misc_RNA from 1 species
AAGUCGUAACAAGGUUUCCGUAGGUGAACCUGCGGAAGGAUCAUUAACGUGUGUCGUCAGCCACUUGGGUCACACCAGGUUGGUCUGUUCGUCCCACCCGUGUCUACUUUACCUGUUGCUUCGGCGAGCCUGUGGCAAUUUCAUUGCUGCUGCCGGAGAGGGGAAACCCGUUCUGGCUCGUUGCUCGCCGAACAUAUCUUUAAACACUUUUUAUCAGUAUGAAGUCUGAGAAAAAUAGCUAAUAGCUUAAAAACUUUCAACAACGGAUCUCUUGGUUCC